GUGACCUUGCGCGAUCUGGUGCGGCAGGCGCUGCGCAUGCGGCCCGACCGGCUGGUGGUCGGCGAGGUUCGAGGCGCCGAGGUCACCC
rnacentral:tRNA from 1 species